rnacentral:rRNA from 1 species
CCAGACUCCUACGGGAGGCAGCAGUGGGGAAUAUUGGGCAAUGGGCGCAAGCCUGACCCAGCAACGCCGCGUGAAGGAAGAAGGCUUUCGGGUUGUAAACUUCUUUUAUGAGGGACGAAAGAAAUGACGGUACCUCAUGAAUAAGCCACGACUAACUACGUGCCAGCAGCCGCGGUAAUACGUAGGGAGCAAGCGUUAUCCGGAUUUAUUGGGUGUAAAGGGUGCGUAGACGGGAAAUUAAGUUAGUUGUGAAAUCCCGCGGCUCAACUGAGGAACUGCAACUAAAACUGGUUUUCUUGAGUGUUGGAGAGGAAAGCGGAAUUCCUAGUGUAGCGGUGAAAUGCGUAGAUAUUAGGAGGAACACCAGUGGCGAAGGCGGCCUGCUGGGCUUUAACUGGCGCUGAGGCUCGAAAGUGUGGGUAGCAAACAGGAUUAGAUACCCCAGUA